rnacentral:rRNA from 1 species
GACGAACGCUGGCGGUGUGCUUAACACAUGCAAGUGGAGCGACGAACCAGGGCUUGCCCUGGGGCAAAGCCGCGAACGGGUGAGUAACACGUGGGUAACCUGCCCCGAUGACUGGGACAACCCGAGGAAACUCGGGCUAAUACCGGAUGUGCUCGCCUCUCAUGAGAGAGGUGAGCAAAGGAAGCUUCGGCCUCCGCAUCGGGAGGGGCCCGCGGCCCAUUAGCUAGUUGGUGGGGUAACGGCCUACCAAGGCUGCGAUGGGUAGCUGGUCUGAGAGGACGAUCAGCCACACUGGGACUGAGACACGGCCCAGACUCCUACGGGAGGCAGCAGUGGGGAAUCUUGCGCAAUGCGCGAAAGCGUGACGCAGCAACACCGCGUGAGGGAAGAAGGCCUUCGGGUUGUAAACCUCUUUCAGGAGGGACGAAGGUUCGCCGGUGAAUAGCCGUGCGGACUGACGGUACCUCCACAAGAAGCCCCGGCUAACUACGUGCCAGCCGCCGCAGUAAUAC